AUAGCGUAUAUUAAAGUUGUUGCGUCGAAAAAGCUCGUAGUUUGAAAACUUGCCUUGGCUUACAACAGACGUCUAUGGGCGUCACCGUUUGUCGAGUGCAAAUAUGGGUGACUGUUCUUGCCUUCUUUACUGAUUGGCUCGUAAAAGUCAUCGAAGAUCACUUUGAUUAAAUUAGGGUGCUCAAAGCAAGUGUGCUACUUGAAUAUGAAUGCAUGGAAUGAUGGAAUAUGUUGUUGUUCUAUUUGUUGGUUUUUUGAAUGACGAAAUGAUUGAAAGGAACUGUUGGGGGCAUUCGUAUUGUUGUGAGAGAGGUGAAAUUCUUAGACCAUAGCAAGACGAACUACUG
rnacentral:rRNA from 1 species